CAUCCUUCCUUGGAUCCACAUAAGUGUUAAUGAUAAUUUUGUUGCACAUCCUCUGCUGAUCAGAGCUUUCAAACUCAUGACAGAAUAAUGUACUAAACUUCAGUGUGGUGUCUAUCUCAGUGUACCUACACUCAGUUGGAAAACUUCAACCACACUGCAACAAGGUUUAUAAAAGGUUUGCUAUGAGGAAAAACAAAUUUAUGGGCUCAAACAAAGUGUGAUAGUGAAAGUCAUUUUGCUUCCAGCUUAAG